UGUCGUCAGCUCGUGUUGUGAAAUGUUGGGUUAAGUCCCGCAACGAGCGCAACCCUUAUCCUUUGUUGCCAGCGGUCCGGCCGGGAACUCAAAGGAGACUGCCAGUGAUAAACUGGAGGAAGGUGGGGAUGACGUCAAGUCAUCAUGGCCCUUACGACCAGGGCUACACACGUGCUACAAUGGCGCAUACAAAGAGAAGCGACCUCGCGAGAGCAAGCGGACCUCAUAAAGUGCGUCGUAGUCCGGAUUGGAGUCUGCAACUCGACUCCAUGAAGUCGGAAUCGCUAGUAAUCGUGGAUCAGAAUGCCACGGUGAAUACGUUCCCGGGCCUUGUACACACCGCCCGUCACACCAUGGGAGUGGGUUGCAAAAGAAGUAGGUAGCUUAACCUUCGGGAGGGCGCUUACCACUUUGUGAUUCAUGACUGGGGUGAAGUCGUAACAAGGUAACCGUAGGGGAACCUGCGG
rnacentral:rRNA from 3 species